ACGGAGUUUGGGAGGCAGCGCGCUGCGGCGCGGAAAGCUGGAGGAGCCCGCGCCCCGGGCGGAGAGCACGCCGAGUGGGAGAGGCCCCCUCCUGCGUCGCCCCCGGAGCCUGAGGUGUGUAGCCCGCCAGGCCGGGGCUAGAUUCCUAAUCAGGCCUGGAAGGAAACGGAUCCAAUUAGGGCACAGCCACGUCCCUCGGUUGCCAGGAGCCUGAAGAUCUAUGACCGACCCAAACCAUUUCUGGAAAAGUCAUAUUUUCCAGGCUUUCGUGAAAUAGUCAUUACUUCUAUUCUAAAUCUGGAGGCGAGCGUGCAUCUAUUUCAGGGAGGAAAAAAAAUGUGAAAAGUAGACUGGACUCCGGGAAAUGUGGGCAAUGGGGUUGGACCUAGGGCUGGUGUCCACCCUCUGGGCCUUUCCUACGAACCUGAAUUGUGGAUUCAUUAGCAUAAAGCGUGGAGGGGGUCAGUGUAAAUAGUCCCUGCAAAUUCAGUACCGAGGUGGGGGUGGGAAGGUGAAUUUAAAAUGGCUCACUUAACUCUCAAGAUCUGGACUUUCACAAAGGGAAAACACACAUCAAAUGAAGGUCAACCAGUGCAGGCCCAGGAGUGGUAUUCCCUUGGGACUUCGUGUUUACCACCAUUUCAGCAUUACCAUCCUGUAUUGCAAUUAAGUGUGUUCUUGUCCAUCUCUCCAAGACUGAGGAGUCCUAGAGCGAAGGUUACCAAAGCCUAGGGUUGUUUGUACCUGCCCUGACCCUUUAGAGCUCACCACAGGCACUAAAUGUUUUCCUAAAUGACUAUCUAUUGGAGAUAGAUAAUGAAUGCUGCGAAGCACAGAUUCAAGAACAAUUAACUUUAAUUUAAGGAAUAGAGCAGACAAGGCUUGGUGAGAGGCCGGGCAUUUGAGCUGGACCCUGGAGAGCAACCAGGAUGACUGUGCCGACCUGUCCAUGUUGACGGAAUGUGCAGUGGGGUAGGAACGUGGUAGGUCUGAGCGGGGGAUUGGUUGGGGCCUUGGAAAAGGAAGCUAAGAGGAAGGACCGAAUGCCUGGCCACACUGUCAUGGUCAGAAAAAGCACAAAACCUUUCUUAGUAGUUCUGGAAUAUGGACAGGUAUAUAUACAACAAAACAGGGAAUAUGAGCCGGGUGGGGUGGCGCAGGCCUAUAAUCUCAGAGGCUGGGGAGACUGAAGGACCAAAGCCAGCCUUAGCAAAAGCGAAGCUCUAGCAACUCAGUGAGACCCUGUCUCUAAAUAAAAUACAAAAUAGGGCUGGGGAUGUGGCUCAGAAGCUAAGUGCCUUUGAGUUCAAUCCCGGGUAGCCCCCCAUCCCCGAAAGCAAAAACAAAAAACAAGGAAUAUGGAUAUACAGAAAGGAAGAAAGACCAAAGCAAAAAAGAAAACUAAAAGGACAACUUAAUGGGGAAUUUCAGAAAAAUUAUAUGAAACCAAAAAGAAAUGUCAAGGAAAACCCCUGGCCUGAGACUCCAGGAACAAAACAUUUAAAUAGCAUUUGGGCAAGCAGGGGAGGGAGUGUGUCUAUGGAAGAGGGAAAGAAAAGAGGUCACAAGGGAACUAAUGUUUUGAUUAAAGAUCUUUGACCAUUAUGGUGUUUCUCAUUGGCACAAGUUGAUUUAGAGACAUGGCAAACUAUAUUAGAUGUAAAGAUGGAACUCAAAAAUAACAAGAGAACAGUGAUACAUUGAAUACUAGAUAAAUGUCCAUCUUCAAGGAAUUUUAAAUAAAUUUGUAGCUGAUCAAACAAUAGAAUGUUAUGGAGUGAUUACAAACACAGAGCAUUUAUUGAAAAGAUGUACGCAACAUAUUAUCAUGUGAAGAGAUGAUUACCUGGAAUGACUCUCUCGAGAUGUUUGCAUUAUAAAUGCUUUUUCACUUUCUCCUUCAUCCCUAUAAGUGCUGUCUGAAUUUUUAGAAUGACCAAUUACCUUUCUGAUGAGAAAAUAAGUAAGUAAAUAUAAGCAUUUACUUAUAAAAUAAGUAAAUAAAUAUAAGCCGAGUUUUAAUCUUUCGAAA
rnacentral:lncRNA from 1 species